AUUGAACGCUGGCGGCAGGCUUAACACAUGCAAGUCGAACGAUGAUUAUCUAGCUUGCUAGAUAUGAUUAGUGGCGGACGGGUGAGUAACAUUUAGGAAUCUGCCUAGUAGUGGGGGAUAGCUCGGGGAAACUCGAAUUAAUACCGCAUACGACCUACGGGUGAAAGGGGGCGCAAGCUCUUGCUAUUAGAUGAGCCUAAAUAAGAUUAGCUAGUUGGUGGGUUAAAGGCCCACCAAGGCGACGAUCUGUAACUGGUCUGAGAGGAUGAUCAGUCACACCGGAACUGAGACACGGUCCGGACUCCUACGGGAGGCAGCAGUGGGGAAUAUUGGACAAUGGGGGCAACCCUGAUCCAGCCAUGCCGCGUGUGUGAAGAAGGCCUUUUGGUUGUAAAGCACUUUAAGCAGGGAGGAGAGGCUAAUGGUUAAUACCCAUUAGAUUAGACGUUACCUGCAGAAUAAGCACCGGCUAACUCUGUGCCAGCAGCCGCCGUAAUAC
rnacentral:rRNA from 1 species